rnacentral:rRNA from 1 species
AACGAACGCUGGCGGCAGGCCUAACACAUGCAAGUCGAACGAACCUUCGGGUGAGUGGCGCACGGGUGCGUAACGCGUGGGAAUAUACCCCUUGGUAAGGAACAACGUCUGGAAACGGACGCUAAUACCUUAUAAUGACUCCGGUCCAAAGAUUUAUCGCCAAGGGAUUAGCCCGCGUCUGAUUAGUUAGUUGGUGAGGUAACGGCUCACCAAGACGAUGAUCAGUAGCUGGUCUGAGAGGAUGAUCAGCCACACUGGGACUGAGACACGGCCCAG